rnacentral:lncRNA from 1 species
GAGAGAGAGAGAGGAUGGUGAAGAGAGAAGAAGAGAGAAGAGAGAAGAGAGAGAGAGGAUAACAGAUCGGAAUGAGAGGUGAGGGAGACGAGAGAAAGAGAAUUAGGGUAAGGGUAUAAACGUAUUUUUCAUAAGAAACAUUGGAAUGGGAUAAUGAAACUGUUUUUCAUUCAAAUGGGCUUUACGAGCCUUGUUUUUGGGUAUUUGGGCAUUUUCCCUACAAUAAUUGAGCAAUUUGCCGAUUUCUCAUCUAAAUUACCAAUAGUCUGAAACUGCAAAUAAAACCAUUAAUAGUUUCAAAAGAAGAUCUAGCACAAAAUCUGGAACAUGCUAUGAAAAGGUUUGAUUUUGAUUAUAUUGCGAGACUCACCAAGAACAAUAUAUAUGUUUAGAUCAAAUCCCUUAUAAAUUAUGUUUAAUUAGAUCGAAUCACUUAAAACAAUACUAUUCAUAAAGUAUUGAAUAAAUAAUGACACACAUAGACAGAUCACAGCUCCAGGAAUGAAGAUACCAUUAGGGAUGGGCAUAAAAAACCAAAAUCAUGAUCUCAUCCCGGAAUUUGACGAGAUGAGACGAGAUUUAAACUUGAAAACACUAGGCCCAUCUCGUCCCGUCCCGUUGACGGGACGAGCCGUGGGACUGAAAGUUUGAGGCCUGUCCUGUCCCAUAUGUAAAUCAAAUUUAAUCUUAGUCGUUGGUUUUUUGACCUUUUUCAUCUCAAUCGUUGGUUUGAUACCUAAUACUAACCUAGACCCUCAUCUCAUUCGCAUAUCAUUGGUUUUAUACCUGAUACUAACCUUCCUCUCAAUUGUUGAUUAUCACUGUUAUGUUUUCUAGUUUGUUGUUGAACAUUAUGAGAUAUGGAUUUUAGAUUAUGGAUAUUUUCUAGUUUGCUUGCUGAACAUUAUGAGAAUAUGAGACAUUAUGGAUUAUGGAUGUUAUAUUGUUAUGUAUUUGGGUUAAUGACUUAAUGUAGAACUAGGCAUUAGGAUUUGUGAUUUUGAGAUUGAUGUAGAAUCAACAAACGCCAUCAGACAUGUUUUUCCUUUUUUUUUUAAAUUGGGUAAAGACGGCGGGAUUGGGCCCGUCCCGUGUGCAAUGUCUGUGAUGGGCCAUGAGAUUAGCCCAAUCUUGUCUCAUACCCAACCCUAGAUACUAUGCCUGCAUCCUACGCAUAAACAUA